UCUCGAUAGCGUAAAAGUUAACUCGAGUUUGUAUGGGAACGUUUGCCUAGGUUUGCCACUAGGGGCGCUGUUCCAAAAGCAUCCAAAUUCGAGUUAACUUUUACGCUAUCGA
rnacentral:pre_miRNA from 9 species